GACGUAGGAUGCAAGCGUUAUCCGGAUUCAUUGGGCUUAAAGGGAGCGUAGGUGGCCUUAUAAGUCAGUGGUGAAAUCUCUGGGCUUAACCCAGAAAUUGCCAUUGAUACUGUAGGGCUUGAGUAUAGAUGCCGUUGGCGGAAUAUGACAUGUAGUGGUGAAAUACAUAGAGAUGUCAUAGAACACCGAUUGCGAAGGCAGCUAACGAAACUAUAACUGACACUGAGGCUCGAAAGUGUGGGGAUCAAACAGG
rnacentral:rRNA from 1 species